CGAGUCCUGAUGUGUACGUUAGUAGCCUAUUCUGUUUUGACCGAACACUAUGAUUUACGGGAGCUUGGAGUUUUUAAGUAGCGCAAAUGCCUCUUGUGAAGAGGACUUGCAAAGCUUAGAACAGGGCACCCACCUGCCGAGAGCGGGUUCAAAACGUAUAGAUCAUCGACAACGGCACAAUUGGGACUCGU
rnacentral:other from 1 species